rnacentral:rRNA from 1 species
UACGGAGGGUGCAAGCGUUAUCCGGAUUUAUUGGGUUUAAAGGGUGCGUAGGCGGCUUUUUAAGUCAGUGGUGAAAUACUAGUGCUUAACACUAGAACUGCCAUUGAAACUAAAAAGCUUGAGUCAAGGAGAGGUAAGCAGAAUUUAUGGUGUAGCAGUGAAAUGCUUAGAUAUCAUAAGGAAUACCGAUAGCGAAGGCAGCUUACUGGCCUUGUACUGACGCUGAGGCACGAAAGCGUGGGGAGCAAACAGG